rnacentral:lncRNA from 10 species
UGACAUCAACGGGACCCCAGAGGGUCUUCAUCUCACUCUCAGAAGCAGGCAGCAUUCUGAAAAUCACCCUCACGGGCCUGCCUCUGCUCCACAGGACACCCGAUGGCCCGAGGAGCUCAGAUUCACCUCUCCCACCAGGGUUCUCUGUUCCUUUAAAAUCCCACCUUUCCUGUCCUUCUGAUUCAGAGGAAGGAGUUCUCAGGACUGUGUCUCCUCCUCCACGGCCCUGGGAUCUUUGCCUAUAGAGCUCCUUCUCCUCCAUCUGUGAGCAAACCUCCUCCCAUAGGCAGAAACCACAUCCACACACACAAACCCACACAACACACCAACAUCACACAGACACCAUGCACACUCAUAAACCCACACACAACACACCAAUAUCACACAAACACAUAUAAACCCACACACAACACACUGACAUGAUGCACAAAUAUACACCCACACACAACACACUGACAUCACACACACAGACACCACACACACAUAAAUGCACACACAACACACCAACAUCACACAUACACAUAUCAACCCACACACAACACACUGACAUCACACACACCGACAUCACACACAUAAACCCACACACAACACACUGACAUCACACACACAGACACCACACACACACACACAAUCCCACACAAAACACACCAUCAGACACAGACAUCACACACACACACAUAAACCCACACACAACACACUGAUAUCACACACACCAACAUCACACACAAACAUAGACCCACACACAACACACCAACAUCACAAACACAGACACCACACACACACAUAAAUCCUUACACAACACGCUGACAUCACACACACAGACACUAUAUACACACACAAACCCACACAACACACCGACAUCACACACACAGACACUAUGUACACAAACAUCACCCACAGACACCAGAUGCACACACCACACACACUCAAACUUCUCUCUUACACACACUCUUCCAUCACACCCUCACAGAGUCAUGACACAUGAGCAUACUACACACAUAUCACACAAAUAUUCACAGACACACAGACAACCCCCCCCACACACACAAUGCACACACCACACAACUGUCUCCCCGGGCCCACACCCUGUCCAUAUACAGACCAUGGAGAGCAAGAAGGGCUGAAGCUGGUCUUGCCCCUGCCUCCUGGAGGAGGAGGGUGCACCUGAAAACAGACCCAGCAAGAGAUGGGAGCCCCGGGAGCAGCCCAACUCCAGGUCCUCUGCAGAAGUGUCCUAGCCGCCACCAGGCUGCCCUGCAUGGCUCAGCAGUUUCCAGUGCCAGGCUGCAGGGAGGUGUGUGGGGCUGGA